ACAUAUACUGAAUGUGUGUUAGGAUUUUUAAUGCAGAAGAAAAAAACAUAUAUAUAUAUAUUUUGUUUUAUAGAAAAAAGUUCCAUGCAAUAUGUGUAGGGUUCUGAAUUGUUUUAGCAGUUAGCAUCAGGCUUCAGGCCGAUAAGACUCACCCCUGAACGGGAAAAUAGUGAGCGUGGUUAGCGGGUAAUGCUAAUGCUAAAUUCAAUUUAUCUUUGACUACUCCAGUAUAUCCAUGUCUGGCACAAGUUAAAAACAAUGUCUUGCCUACUGUACAGUUUGUAAUAGUGAUUUUAGGAUUGCCCAGGGGUAACUACAGGAUUGCAAAAGGCAUGUUGAGAAAACUAUGGCGAGGUCUAUGAUGAUAUCAUACCUGCUGAAGAGAGCCCACACAUUACAACAGGUUCUUGAGUCUUAUCUGGC